rnacentral:rRNA from 1 species
GAUUCAUUUUCUCAGUAACGUAGCUAACGCGUGAAGUUGACCGCCCUGGGGAGUACGGUCGCAAGAUUAAAACUCAAAGGAAUUGACGGGGACCCGCACAAGCGGUGGAUGAUGUGGAUUAAUUCGAUGCAACGCGAAAAACCUUACCUACCCUUGACAUGCCACUAACGAAGCAGAGAUGCAUUAGGUGCCCGAAAGGGAAAGUGGACACAGGUGCUGCAUGGCUGUCGUCAGCUCGUGUCGUGAGAUGUUGGGUUAAGUCCCGCAACGAGCGCAACCCUUGUCUCUAGUUGCUACGCAAGAGCACUCUAGAGAGACUGCCGGUGACAAACCGGAGGAAGGUGGGGAUGACGUCAAGUCCUCAUGGCCCUUAUGGGUAGGGCUUCACACGUCAUACAAUGGUGCGUACAGAGGGUUGCCAACCCGCGAGGGGGAGCUAAUCCCAGAAAACGCAUCGUAGUCCGGAUCGUAGUCUGCAACUCGACUACGUGAAGCUGGAAUCGCUAGUAAUCGCGGAUCAGCAUGCCGCGGUGAAUACGUUC